GACAGAGGGUGCAAACGUUGCUCGGAAUCACUGGGCGUAAAGCGCACGUAGGCGGUCUGUUAUGUCGGAUGUGAAAGCCCUUGGCUUAACUGAGGAAGUGCAUCCGAAACUGGCAGGCUAGAGUACUAAAGAGGGUCGCGGAAUUCCCGGUGUAGAGGUGAAAUUCGUAGAUAUCGGGAGGAAUACCAGUGGCGAAGGCGCUGGGCUGGACGGUCAUUGACGCUGAGGUGCGAAAGCGUGGGUAGCAAACAGG
rnacentral:rRNA from 1 species